rnacentral:ncRNA from 2 species
AAUAAAUAUUUUCUUCGAGUCUGUGAAUCUAAGGCUGAAAAGCUAAGAUAGCUGACCGAUAGGGUAUUCCAGGAAACUGGAGCGCCUUCCUUGUGAAAAGAAGAAGCUUACACCGCCAA